GACGAACGCUGGCGGCGUGCUUAACACAUGCAAGUCGAACGCUGAAGCCCUUUCGGGGGUGGAUGAGUGGCGAACGGGUGAGUAACACGUGGGUAAUCUGCCCUGUACUUCGGGAUAAGCCUUGGAAACGGGGUCUAAUACCGGAUAGGACCUGUCCUCGCAUGGGGGUGGGUGGAAAGUUCCGGCGGUAUGGGAUGAGCCCGCGGCCUAUCAGCUUGUUGGUGGGGUAGUGGCCUACCAAGGCGCCGACGGGUAGCCGGCCUGAGAGGGUGACCGGUCACACUGGGACUGGGACACGGGCCAGACUGCUACGGGAGGCAGCAGUGGGGAAGCUUGCGCAAGGGGCGAAAGCCUGACGCAGCAACGCCGCGUGGGGGAUGACGGCCUUCGGGUUGUAAACCUCUUUCGACAUCGACGAAGGGGCCCUGUUGUGGGGUUUUGACGGUAGGUGUAGAAGAAGCACCGGCUAACUACGUGCCAGCAGCCGCCGUAA
rnacentral:rRNA from 1 species